rnacentral:lncRNA from 1 species
CAAAUGUCGAUAUCCCCAUUUUACAGAUCACAACCCUUUAUCAAUGAAAACAACUCUGUACAGGUAAGGGAGGCAUCCUUCAUGAAUUCUUCCUCCCGUUUCCACAAUUCUUGCAAUUAAUCAAACAAUCUGAGCCAGUCUUCACUUCAUGAGAACAGCUGUCUCCAAAAUGCUGAGGACAUAAACAACUAUAGAAUAAACUGAGUUUAUGGCAGAAAAUCUCCUACGAUGUGGAAGAAAGGAGACCUUCGUCAUCUUUCUCUGUCGUGGACGUCUUCUCAGUGUGUUGAGGUGUGCUCUGUGACUUCCGUGGAAAGGGCAUGGCUGUGUCCUUCUAUGCAUUUUGCAGUCAUUCCCAUCUGCAAAUACCAUUCCUUCCAUAAAUAACAAUCACUCAUUAACUCCAGGGACUAUUGACUUCCCUUUCUUCAAUAAACACUUCUGUGGGCUUGCUGUCUGCUUCCUCCUUGCAGCCACGGUAACCAUUGUUGGGUAAUGCAUGGUUGCCAGGCUCCUGAACGGGAGUGAGAUUUUUUUUAAACCUGAUGUCACAUCCAGGACAAACAAGAGAAGUCCUUUUAACCAAAUAGGACUCCUAUAUAACAAGAGUCUUUGAGAAGAGAGUCGUAUGACCUAAGAUGUCCCCUCCAACUACUUUGAGAGACAUCUAUCUGCACAUGUGCACAAGGUGAAGAUUGAAUGCAGCAUUGUCUGUCUUAGCAAAAGCUAAACACAACCCAAAUAUCCAGGGAUAGGAAAAUAACUCAAUAAACGUCGGCUUAUCCUUAUUAUGGAAUCCCACACAGCAGUUGCAGAUCUUCAUGUGUUGACGUGGAAAUGUCUCCAAGGCAUACUGCCAAGUGAAUGGACAGCAUGUUAACGUCUGUGCGCCACUCGGCCUCACAAAUAAAAACGAUUCAGCAU